ensembl:snoRNA
AUCCUUUUGUAGUUCAUAAGCAUGAUGAUUGGGUGUUCACGUGCAUGUGUGAGAUGUGACACCCUUGCACAUUACUUGCCUGACC